rnacentral:rRNA from 1 species
AAGUCGUACCAAGGUUUCSGUAGSUGAACCUGCGGAAGGAUCAUUG